rnacentral:rRNA from 1 species
GCUUGUCUCAAAGAUUAAGCCAUGCAUGUCUAAGUAUAAGCACUUAUACCGUGAAACUGCGAAUGGCUCAUUAUAUCAGUUAUAGUUUAUUUGAUAGUUCCUACUACUUGGAUAACCGUAGUAAUUCUAGAGCUAAUACAUGCGACAACCCCUGACUGCUUGCAGAAAGGGCGUAUUUAUUAGAUACAACCAACCCUUCGGGUCCCUGGUGAAUCAUAAUAACUUAGCGAACCGCAUGCUUCGGCGGCGGUGAUUCAUUCAAGUUUCUGCCCUAUCAACUUUCAACCGUAAGGUAGUGGCCUACGGUGGUGGUAACGGGUGACGGAGGAUUAGGGUUCGAUUCCGGAGAGGGAGCCUGAGAAACGGCUACCACAUCCAAGGAAGGCAGCAGG